rnacentral:rRNA from 1 species
UAGGGAAUAUUGCACAAUGGGGGAAACCCUGAUGCAGCGACGCCGCGUGGAGGACGAAGGCCUUCGGGUUGUAAACUCCUGUCACGGAUUAAGAAUGUCGUGCGGUGAAUAGUCGUACGAUUGACGUAAGUCCGAGAGGAAGCACUGGCUAACUCUGUGCCAGCAGCCGCGGUAAUACAGAGAGUGCAAACGUUGUUCGGAAUUACUGGGCUUAAAGCGCACGUAGGCGGCGCCGCAAGUGUGGGGUGAAAGCCCACGGCUUACCCGUGGAAUUGCCUGGCAGACUGCGGUGCUAGAGUGUGGUAGGGGAGAGCGGAACUCCUGGUGGAGCGGUGAAAUGCGUAGAUAUCAGGAGGAACACCGGUGGCGAAGGCGGCUCUCUGGUCCACAACUGACGCUGAGGUGCGAAAGCUAGGGGAGCAAACGGGAUUAGAUACCCCUGUAGUCCCUGAGCGGGCUGGCAAGGCGCAU